rnacentral:rRNA from 1 species
UACGAAGGGGGCUAGCGUUGCUCGGAAUUACUGGGCGUAAAGCGCACGUAGGCGGUCUUUUAAGUCGGGGGUGAAAUCCUGGAGCUCAACUCCAGAACUGCCUCCGAUACUGAGAGUCUUCGAGUCCGGGAGAGGUGAGUGGAACUGCGAGUGUAGAGGUGAAAUUCGUAGAUAUUCGCAAGAACACCAGUGGCGAAGGCGGCUCACUGGCCCGGUACUGACGCUGAGGUGCGAAAGCGUGGGGAGCAAACAGG